UGUUCAGGUUCCUCACCUGGAUAUCAGACUGCUUGUGUACUUAUCUCUAAAAGGUGGGAAGUGUGCCAUGGGAAGGCGUUGAGAAAGAGACAUGACUAGUAGUUCACGCUUGCCAUCAGGAAGGUGUGAAGUCUCACAACUGUUUUAAAUGAAAUAAUUGUAAUCAGAGUUAGUAGUAAAUAACACAACUACUGUCGUAGAAAGAUGCAGUAAUUUUAGGUUUGAGAAAUUACUUAGAAUAGUUUAUUCAACUAGGGUUUAAUAAUAUUAAUAUUUGUGGACAUUAUUUCUCCUGCCUCAUAGCACUGAUGCAUUCUUCUGUCUCAGUUUGUGCCCUGUUUUAAACUAAAAGACGUGAGGUGAUUGCCACUUUGCUUCCGUAUAAGUGGAUCCCAGCUACCGUAGCGAAGUAGGUUUGUAAUUUCUGAAACCACUCAGGGGCCAGCAUUUUGAUUUUGGCUCUAUUUUCAGCAACACCAAAAUGGAAGUGGCAAGUUCAGUUGUAGAAGAUAGGUUUGGAGUUUUCCGGAGAGAGAAUUAUCUUAGCACAUGCUGUUUCUUCUGCCUCUUAGCCGACAUGAUUCAAUAAAGUGAGCUUACAUUCACCCAUAGCAAAGCCAUUAUUUAAGCAUGCUUUAAACUUGUGCUCUGUUCACCCUAGGGCAGUGCAGUUGCAGUGCUGGGGCUUUUUGGGAAGCAUGAACAACAGCACGGAAUUGCGCAGUGUUGUCUGCCACGUGCACAUGUUGGGAUUGGUAGAUCUUUUCUGCUUGUCUUCA